rnacentral:lncRNA from 1 species
CUUCACUUGCUUUGGGCUGUCAUUUUUCACUUUCUUUAUUAUUGUCUUCAACAAAUUUCCAGAACCCAUUGCUGAUGGUAAGUAUCUGUAUCGAACUUAGCAUCAACCUAACGGUAUUUUCCAAUGCAAAUGUAAUCAGAAACGACAGCAGACAGAAAUUGGAACACAAAUAAUUCAGUUUAGUAGAAGAACAUGCCAUAACGUUUUAAAGUUCAGAUUUUCUAUGCUAUGAACAUGAUUUGAUUUGAAAGUUGAAACAUUUAUUAACGGAAAGUAACUAACAGUGCCUAAACUCAAUCACCAAGCUUUUCACCAAAUGGACAAUUAGGCAACUAUCAAAGUCAACCCACCUAUCCACUAACAGAAACAAGACAGUAUUGUGAGAAGUUCAUAAAUUCAACAGCAACAACAUACACCCCAUAGUAUCAUCAACCAAAGAUUUGAUUUUUAGAAGAAAAAUUAGUUUCUAACUUUGACUCCAUGCAAAUUCACUUACUAACACCAAUGACAUCCAGAACCCAGAUCCUAGCCAUCCCCUCCUGACCAUGGGUAUCCCCAAAAUGACAUUUUAUUGUCCCUUAUGAAAGCAAGCAAAACCAGAAACAAUGAGAAACCAAACCGAAGGUAUGGGUUACAUAUGACAUACCAACAACGCUGUCCCAAAAAAGGAGAUACCUUUGGAGGAAGGGGGGCACUGAAAGCAAAGAUUUUGGGAUGGCAAAAAAAGGGAAAGAUGGUGACAACAACAGUACGAGUUGCAGUAAAGAAGAAGGAAAGCCUGAAAAUCAAAGCAAAGAAUAAUAAAAGGGUGGGUGUGGAAUGUGGAUUGCCAUGGCCCAUUACCAGCUUCACAUCUCUCUUUCUUUAUUUAUAUGUCUUCUGUUUAUUUUUUGUUUUGGUCUCCCAAAGAAUAAAAAGCUGGUCUAACAGAAAAGAAAAAGGGCAAUCAUGG